CCCUUAGAUGUCCUGGGCCGCACGCGCGCUACACUGAUGCAUCCAACGAGUUUUACCUUGGCCGAGAGGCCUGGGCAAUCUUUUAAACCUGCAUCGUGAUAGGGAUAGAUUAUUGCAAUUAUUAAUCUUGAACGAGGAAUUCCUAGUAAACGCAAAUCAUCAAUUUGCAUUGAUUACGUCCCUGCCCUUUGUACACACCGCCCGUCGCACCUACCGAUUGAAUGGUCCGGUGAAGCCUCGGGAUUGUGGCCAGUUCACUUUAUUGGGAGUUGGCUGUGAGAACUUGUCUAAACCUUAUCAUUUAGAGGAAGGUGAAGUCGUAACA
rnacentral:rRNA from 1 species